rnacentral:rRNA from 1 species
GAUGAACGCUGGCGGCGUGCCUAAUACAUGCAAGUCGAGCGAACAGACGAGGAGCUUGCUCCUCUGACGUUAGCGGCGGACGGGUGAGUAACACGUGGAUAACCUACCUAUAAGACGGGGAUAACUUCGGGAAACCGGAGCUAAUAACGGAUAAUAUAUUGAACCGCAUGGUUCAAUAGUGAAAGACGGUUUUGCUGUCACUUAUAGAUGGAUCCGCGCCGCAUUAGCUAGUUGGUAAGGUAACGGCUUACCAAGGCAACGAUGCGUAGCCGACCUGAGAGGAUGAUCAGCCACACUGGAACUGAGACACGGUCCAGACUCCUACGGGAGGCAGAAGUAGGGAAUCUUCCGCAAUGGGCGAAAGCCUGACGGAGCAACGCCGCGUGGGUGAUGAAGGUCUUCGGAUCGUAAAACUCUGUUAUUGGGGAAGAACAAAUGUGUAAGUAACUAUGCACGUCUUGACGGUACCUAAUCAGAAAGCCACGGCUAACUACGUG